UCGAACUGCCAUUGGAGUUAUUUUUGUGUGUUUUUGGUGAUUUACCAUACAAUACACAUGGUAUAUGUGGAUGGUUAAUGCAUUUACCAAUUUGCCCCCAGAAACAAAAAAAAAGUUAAACAUUAGCAGUCGGUUUUCCAAAUUUCCCGUUCCACACGCUCUGCUCACUCAACACCUAACCAAAAAGAAAGAAAAAAAGAAAAGAAAAAAGAAAUAUAAAGCUCCUCCUGUUUUGCAUGCCCUCCUCCUAUUCUCGCUUCGCUUUCUCUCUCAGUUUCGCCAACUGUGACAACAGCCAGACGCCGAUCGUCCCCAAUUCCAUAUACAGCUAGAUAUAUAAUUACAUAUACUACACACAAUGGGUUGCACUGUGAGAGAGAAGCACAUCCGUACAAAUCGUAGGCCCCGAUCUGCAAAACCCGAUUUCGAUUAUUGUUGCCACAUUGAUAGAGCAUCAAUCUCUAAAUCCAUACUCGAAUCGGGUCUCAAGCCAUUCAAUCACCAUCUGGGUUCCAACAACGAUUCCACCCAGAACCCUAAAUCGAGCCCAAGCCCCAACUCCAAUUUCGAUGAGAGUGGGUGGGGUUACUGCACUGAGGAACAAUUAGAAGAAAUUCUUUUGAAGAAUUUAGAAUUUUUGUACAAUGAGGCUAUUUCUAAGCUAGUUGCAUUGGGUUAUGAUGAGGAUGCUGCGCUUAAAGCGAUAUUGAGAAAUGGGCACUGCUAUGGUGGCAUGGAUGUGCUGACCAACAUUUUGCAUAACUCAUUGGCUUAUUUGAAUAGUAAUUGUGGUAGCAGUAAUGGGAAGUCGGAUGAGGCUGAGCCCGUUUUUGCUGACUUGAGGCAGUUAGAGGAGUACUCGCUUGCAGGUAUGGUGUGUAUGUUGCAGCAAGUUAGACCACAUUUGACUAAAGGUGAUGCCAUGUGGUGUUUGCUUAUGAGUGAUCUUCAUGUGGGUCGAGCAAGUACUAUGGAAAUUCCUGUGCUUCCCGGAGGAGGUAUUGAAAAUAGUAGUUUGAUAUCUACUAGUGUUGAGUCUGGUAGUAAUGGUAACCAUUCGGUUGGUGUUAUGGCUCCGGCUCUUUGUAGGUUUCAUGGUGGUUGGGGGUUUGGAAAUGGGGGAGGUUCAGAGUUUCCUGUUCAUGGGUUUUUCUCUUAUGGUGCUGAGUUGACUUUGCAAAGGGAUAUUGAGUGUCCCAAGAGGUUUAACCUUUCUCCUUCAAUGAAGUCAUUGUUGAAAAGGAAUGUUGCAAUAUUUGCAGCUGGUUUUCGAGCAAACUCAAAACAGUUAAAUGCACAACCACAGGCUUGCCUGAGUAAUUUGGCGAGUGGGGAUACCCCGGUUGCACUGGGGUCUGAAGUUCCGGUUUAGCACUCUGAGAAAACACGAAAUUCGAAGAACCAGGAGGUGGUUAACUCAGUAUUGAGUAAGUUUCGUGAUUUGAAUCUUGAUGAGAAUUUAGAGUUUGUGGGGGAAGAUCAAAAGAAUGAGGUGAUAGUAAAUCUUCUUCAUCAGGUUGAAGAGCUUGAGAAGCAAGUUAAGGACCGGAAGGAGUGGGCCCACCAAAAGGCUAUGCAAGCUGCAACAAAGCUCAGCCAUGACCUGGCGGAGCUAAAAAUGCUGAGGCUUGAAAGGGAGGAGACUCAAAGGUUGAAGAAAGGGAAACAAACUCUUGAGGACUCAACUAUGAAGAGACUAUCGGACAUGGAGAAUGCAUUAAGAAAGGCCAGUGGUCAAGUGGACAGGGCAAAUGCAGCUGUGAGACGGCUUGAGACUGAGAAUGCAGAAAUUAGAGCAGAGAUGGAGGCUUCUAAACUGAGUGCUUCAGAGUCAGUCUUAACCUGUUUGGAGGUUGCAAAGAGGGAGAAAAAGUGCCUGAAGAGGAUGUUGGCAUGGGAAAAACAAAAAAUUAAACUGCAGGAAGAGAUUGCAGAGGAGAAAGAGAAGAUUUCAGAAUUGCAACGACAUUUGGCUCGGAUGAAGCAUGAUCAGAAAGAAGCUGAGGUGAAAUGGGGGCAGGAGCUGAAGGCUAAGGAGGAAGCCUUAGCACAAGUGGAAGAGGAACAACGUGCUAAGGAAGCAGCUGAGGCUAGUAAUAAACGAAAGGUUGAGGCUCUGCGCCUAAAGAUAGAAAUAGAUUUCCAGCGUCACAAGGAUGACCUCCAAAGACUUGAGCAGGAACUCUCACGCCUAAAAAUAUCUGCCCAGUCUACCGAAUUGCUUCAUCCAUCAAAUGCUUUGCCAAAAGCAAUUUCUGAGGGUGCAAAACCCCAAGGAGAAACUAUUGCUAAGCUGCUUCGUGAAUUAGAUAACCUGGAGAAUUCAUCAGAGAAAGAAGUCAACUGUGAUAGGGAAUGCAUAAUUUGUAUGAAAGACGAAGUCUCUGUUGUUUUCCUGCCAUGUGCGCAUCAAGUUCUUUGUGCCAAUUGCAAUGAUGAUUAUGGGAAAAAAGGUAAAGCCACCUGCCCAUGUUGCCGGGCUCCCAUUGAACAUAGGAUUCGUGUUUUUGGUGCAAGUUCUUAGUCCUCCCAGAGAAAGAUUCUGUCUUCUCCCUGAGUAUGACUAUUUCAGGUAUACCAAAUAAUAUACAGUUCUUAUUUCCUUGGUCAUUCAGGCUACAUGCUGAGCACAUCAGCAAAAUAGAUAUGUGCUAAUAUAAAAAGAAAGCCUUUUUUCCAGCUUGUGUUUUUACAAUUUGGAGUGACAAGAACAUCUGUUUCUCGGUUGUUUCCAUCCCUGUUUCAUUAGCGAAAUCGGCUAAUGCUUUUUAUAUAGUAACAUACAUUUGCAGCUCAACGAGGAAAUAAUUGAUUGUUAUGAUUGCUGUAAAAUGGUGCUGAUUUUUUUUUGGAGCAUGUUAUAGGGCAGUAGCAUAUAGUCUGGAAAUUUGAAACAGUGAAACUAGAUAUGAGCUAUCUGAGUUUUUCUGUUCCUAUUUCCUCCAUGGAGAUGUGCU